rnacentral:lncRNA from 1 species
GCAGGACUUCUGAUCGAGAUUCAUGGGCUCAUGUGGAUGACUCCUAGAGAUCGGAUGCAUGUGCAGUUUGCAACAUCAUCCUCAAGCCCGGAUGAGUAAGGUUAGAACAUCUAACUUGCAAGGUAAUAGAUCUGAUCUAUUGUUUAAUACAUACAUUAGAUGUAGUAUAGAAACAUGUUGAUAUGAUCAACAUGUAGUUUAUGCUCUAUAUAUUUUAAUUUUUGAUUUAAUGCUAUGUAAUAAUCAUAUAAUAGAAUAUUAUAUCUAGAGAUU